UAUUCCAGUAUCCAAUCAUAA
ensembl:piRNA 21ur-9495 ncRNA